AUUGAACGCUAGCGGGAUGCUUUACACAUGCAAGUCGAACGGCAGCGCGGACUUCGGUCUGGCGGCGAGUGGCGAACGGGUGAGUAAUGUAUCGGAACGUGCCCAGUAGCGGGGGAUAACUACGCGAAAGCGUAGCUAAUACCGCAUACGCCCUACGGGGGAAAGCAGGGGAUCGUAAGACCUUGCACUACUGGAGCGGCCGAUAUCGGAGUAGCUAGUUGGUGAGGUAACGGCUCACCAAGGCGACGAUCCGUAGCUGGUUUGAGAGGACGACCAGCCACACUGGGACUGAGACACGGCCCAGACUCCUACGGGAGGCAGCAGUGGGGAAUUUUGGACAAUGGGGGCAACCCUGAUCCAGCCAUCCCGCGUGUGCGAUGAAGGCCUUCGGGUUGUAAAGCACUUUUGGCAGGAAAGAAACGUCGCGGGCUAAUACCCCGUGGAACUGACGGUACCUGCAGAAUAAGCACCGGCUAACUACGUG
rnacentral:rRNA from 1 species